rnacentral:misc_RNA from 1 species
ACUAUGUAAAUUUUAUUUGUAAUUUGUCGAAAAUCUGGGGUUUUCAGAGGCAGACAUGCUUCAUAGUAUUGGUCCAACAAAGUUAAGUCUGGCAUGUCCCAUUAAAAAACAAAAUCCUGAAAAUGACUCCUUAACCCCAACAAGUCAGGCUGCUAACCAUCUUUCUUCGCAGACUUGGACUCGUCAAACUCCAACAGCGGCUUUACUUCUCCA